rnacentral:misc_RNA from 1 species
GGUGAUGACGAUGAUAUGUAUAUAAUAAUAAGCUGUAUUUUUAUAUAUAGAAGCGAUGUGUAAAUUUAAAAUUAUGCUGCGGAAGGCAAUGAUCUGUUAAUGCCUGUCUUUGCGAAGAUUCCGUUUCCAAUAGCAGCGUAGUCAAUUACCCCAUAGUGUACAGUAUCAAAACUGAAUAACCAAGCUUAACUGCUUGGAGAAACUUACUAAUGAAGUGUACAUGUAUGUAUGUUCUCAACCUAUAUGAAUUUUAUAAUGUGAACUACGAUAGAGUAAGUACAUACAUAUACAUAUAUGUAUAUAUGUAUAUAUAAUAUUAUGUAUAUCACAGUUCGUAUUACUACUGACUAUGUCUGCUUGAAGUGUGCCACAUACGUAUGUAUAUGAGUUAGUACGUCUUAAAUUAUGUUUACAGCUCAGAGUCUACUACAUACAUACAUAUAGGAAAUCAUUGUUUCUAAAGGACAUAAUUCAUGACCACGUUUAAACAAUCCAUGAAAUACAACGUAAAGCGAUUUGGUGCAUUAGUUAAGUAAAAUUUUACUAGUCGACUUGAAGUAAACUUAAGAUUUAUUUUUAAAAAAUUUACAAUCCACAAUAAAAAUAAUUUCAAUAACAACAAAAUAAAAGCCAUUAACUAAAAUAUUCACGAGGUAAAUAUCAUCAAGUGUACAUUUGUUUACGAUUAAGUGGGUGUUGAAUGAGAUGAGGAAGUAUGUAUGAAAGCCGCUUUUUCACUGCAUUUAUGUAUGUGUAUACUAAGCAUGCAUUCACAAGCCCUACGACUAAGGAUACUUAUUAUUUGUACGUAGAUCCAAAUUAAUAUACACAAUAUAUGAACAUAUAGAUAUUAUUAAAGGCGAAUUGCGAUUUUGACAAAUGUUGCUCCGAAGUUGUAUAACAGAUGCCAUUGCUAGGCAACAAAAUUGACCACAACAAUUUCUCUGACCAGUGUCCCUCAAGUAUUGGUGGGUCGUCAUCCAAAAACCAGUCCAGGUAGCGGUGGAUGGACAUGUACAUACAAGCUUCGGAUUGCACAUAAAAAUGAAAAAAAUUAAAGCUAAGGCCAGUUCUUUGCCGAUUUUUAAUGGGCGUAUAUCAGAUUCCUCAGCAUCAAGUAAUUCUUCCAUGAAUGCAUUUGCAUCAAGGUCAAAACAGCGGGCUACAUUUAAUGGAGUCACGCCGCAAAAAAUCUUCACCAUAUCGAACUCCUCAUCUUCGGUAUCACCAUUAUUGAGAGAUGAAACUUUAAAUAAAAACGGAGGAACACAAAUUUGUAAUACACCGAUAACCGGUCUCAUGCCCAAGGCACUUGAUUCUUCAAGUAUAAAUCGGAUUAGACUGAGCAAUUAUGAAAAAAUUAAGGUGGUCGGACAAGGCUCGUUUGGAGUGGCGAUAUUAUAUCGACGCAAAUUUGAUAAUCAUCAUAUUGUUUUCAAACAAAUAAAUUUAGCAGAGCUGACGCCAUCCGAAAGAGACUUGGCUAUGAACGAAGUUGAAGUCUUCUCUAAACUCCACCAUCCGAAUAUAAUUAGUUAUUUGGGUAGCUUCAUUAGAGACAACACCCUGCUAAUUGAAAUGGAAUACGCUGAUGGGGGCACCCUGGCUCAAGUUAUAGCGGACCGUCUGAUGAAAGAUUACUUUUCUGAAAGGUAUAUCGUUGCAGUUUUCGAGCAGAUUUCAAGCGCCAUAAAUUAUAUGCAUUCUGAAAAUAUUUUACAUCGAGAUUUGAAAACUGCAAAUGUGUUUUUGAACAAACGAGGAAUUGUAAAGAUCGGAGACUUUGGCAUAUCAAAAAUAAUGAAUACAAAAGUGUUGGCACAAACCGUGUUAGGAACGCCAUAUUACUUCAGCCCGGAGAUGUGCGAGGGUAAGGAGUAUGACCAUAAGAGCGAUAUAUGGGCAUUAGGUUGUAUACUUGGUGAAAUGUGUUGCCUAAAGAAAAGUUUUGCGGCCUCAAAUCUUUCGCAAUUGGUGUCCAAAAUAAUGGCGGGUAAUUAUACUACUAUACCCCCGGGCUAUUCUUCGGGCUUACGCAGUCUCCUAGGCAAUCUUUUGCAAGUGGAUGCUUCACUUCGUCCAAAUGCCUCUGAGAUUUUGGAGUAUUGGAUUCCGCUUAUAUUUAGAAAUUUGGGAAAAAAUAAAGGAUAUUCUUAUAAUGAUGACAUACUUGCAAUGAAUCCCAUUUCAAAUAUCACUUCUGAAGUACAAUUAGCUAAAGAGAGUGUAGAGCUCAGUUUUUGUGGGGAGGCAGGGAAUUCUAAGCAAGCAUUGACAGAGUUCCCAACCGGCCGCACCGAAAGGGAAGUAAUGAAUGCGGAAACUGCCAUACCGAAUGAAAUAAUUUUUAAACGGUCAGUAUUAUACCAAUUGAAGGCAUUUGGCAACAGCUUCGGCAUGAAUCCUAUACAGUUACCUCCCAAAGCUCGCAUACGCUCAGUGGCUGCUAGUGACUCACAUUUUGUGGUUGUUAAUGAUGAUGGUUCGGUUUAUGCGUGGGGGGAGGGCAUACACGGCCAACUCGGUUCAUCAUCGCUUGAAGGUUGGAAACAUUAUCCCAGUAGAAUGGAAAGCAUUCGGAGCCACCAUAUUAUAAGCGCAUGCGUUGGCGAUGGCUUCAGUAUUCUCUUAACACAAUCGGGUACUGUUCUCAGUUGUGGCGAUAAUUCAAAAUACUCGUUGGGACAUGUCGAAAACAAAAUAUAUCAUACUCCAAAAAGUGUAAUAAAGCUACAAGAUAUACAAAUAGAGAAAAUAGCGGCCGGAACUGAACAUGUGCUUGCUUUGAGCGCCGAUGGUUCGAUCUACGUUUGGGGUACCAGCGCGCAUGGUGCUCUUGGGUUGGGUAAAUUUCAAACACAGCAAAAAACUCCACAAAAAGUUCUACUGCCACAUAUGAAUGGAAAGGCUGAGAAAAUAUUUUGCGGUCCAAAUAUUUCGGCAGUUCUUUUUAAAAACGGAGACUUGUAUGCCUGUGGCUGCAACAAAUACAGGAAGUUGGGGUUUAAAAAAAGCAACAUAACAGCAUUCAAAAAACUAGAACUGCCCCAUAAAAUCCUUACGGCGAGCUUUUCUUCAGUCCAUACCAUUUUAUUAACGGAAAACGGUAGAGUCUACACAAUGGGCCGCAACUCAGAAGGACAACUGGGAGUAGGACAUACCAAUAGUGUUGAGGAGCCAACAUUGGUGAAAUUCAUUGCACACCGUACAAUUAUAGUAAAUACAAUGGCUCUAUUUUAUUUUCAAUUACCUCUAAGGAUAAUUUUAUAACUUUUUGGGGCACAAGAAAUGGUAUACCGGGCUUUGGAGAAAGUAACAUUAAUAAGUUGCAAGGACAUAACCAAAACUGUACCAAUUCUGAUAUCAACAACAGCACUGUGGCUUUUACAAAUUUCCUUGCCUCGAUUUAUAAAUCUGAG